UACGUAGGGGGCAAGCGUUGUCCGGAAUCAUUGGGCGUAAAGAGCGUGUAGGCGGCUUGGCAAGUCUGACGUGAAAGCCCGCGGCUCAACCGCGGAUUGUCGUUGGAAACUGCCUCGCUAGAGUCCGGAAGAGGAGAGCGGAAUUCCUGGUGUAGCGGUGGAAUGCGCAGAUAUCAGGAAGAACACCCGUGGCGAAGGCGGCUCUCUGGGACGGUACUGACGCUGAGACGCGAAAGCGUGGGAGCGAACAGG
rnacentral:rRNA from 1 species